rnacentral:misc_RNA from 1 species
AAAGAGGGACUGAAUGUACACGUUGUGUUUGGAAUGGGCGUGGCCAUCAUUGGCAUGAUUUGGUACGGUAACGCCUCCUCACAACCAGGUGGGAAAGAGCGGAUACCACCCCCCACUGUCGUCAAACCUGAAAAACACAUGUUGCUACCAACAGAGCUCGACGAGAAAGUAUAGGGAGUCAGUCAUCUCUCCGAGUAAUUCAUACUGCCAUCAUAGACUCAUUUUUAUAUUUCACAGUCUAAAUCUUUUACAGUCUUUCCCUAAUUUUAUGUUGAGAUUCAUAUGUUAAACAUUGCAAAG